GAUGAACGCUAGCGGCAGGCCUAACACAUGCAAGUCGAGGGGUAGAGGAAGCUUGCUUCCUUGAGACCGGCGCACGGGUGCGUAACGCGUAUGCAAUCUACCUUUUACAGAGGGAUAGCCCAGAGAAAUUUGGAUUAAUACCUCAUAGUAUUUUCGAAUGGCAUCAUUUGAUUAUUAAAGUUCCAACGGUAAAAGAUGAGCAUGCGUCCUAUUAGCUAGAUGGUAAGGUAACGGCUUACCAUGGCAACGAUAGGUAGGGGUCCUGAGAGGGAGAUCCCCCACACUGGUACUGAGACACGGACCAGACUCCUACGGGAGGCAGCAGUGAGGAAUAUUGGACAACGGGCGCAAGCCUGAUCCAGCCAUGCCGCGUGCAGGAAGACGCAUCUAUGGUGUGUAAACUGCUUUUGUACGGGAAGAAACACUCCCUCGUGAGGGAGCUUGACGGUACCGUAAGAAUAAGGAUCGGCUAACUCCGUGCCAGCCGCCGCUGUAAAAC
rnacentral:rRNA from 1 species